UACGGAGGGUGCAAGCGUUAAUCGGAAUUACUGGGCGUAAAGCGCGCGUAGGCGGACAAUUAAGUCAGAUGUGAAAACUCUGGGCUCAACCGAGAGCAUGCAUCUGAUACUGGUAGUCUUGAGUGUAGAAGAGGAGAGUGGAAUUCCUAGUGUAGCGGUGAAAUGCGUAGAUAUUAGGAGGAACACCAGUGGCGAAGGCGACUCUCUGGUCUAUAACUGACGCUGAGGCGCGAAAGCGUGGGGAGCAAACAGGAUUAGAUACCCUGGUAGUCCACGCCGUAAACGAUGGGUACUAGGUGUUGGGGGUUUCGACGCCCUCAGUGCCGCAGUAAACACAUUAAGUACCCCGCCUGGGGAGUACGGUCGCAAGACUGAA
rnacentral:rRNA from 1 species